AUCGUUCAUCUCUUAGGAGACGGAAGUAGGUGAGAACCGAAGGAACGCGCC
rnacentral:ncRNA from 10 species